UGCAACCAGGAAGACAGAUGCCUCUCCCUUAUGGCAUCCCACAAUCAACAAGGUGGUGAAAGAACUAUGCUAUCAACAUUUCAUAAUAUACUGGAGAUUUCAGCAAAUAUUUGAUACCUGCCCAGAGGCUAAGUUCUGGUAAGGAGAGGCGUCAGAUUGGAGGCGCUCCAUCGUCCUGGCAGCUGAACACAGUGGAAGUCUUGGAUGUGUUCAGGGGAUUGGGCCAGCUGAGCUCUGCCAUGGAAGACAAGUAGCUGGCGCUGCUGAAUGGGAGAAAGAGUGGUGGGAUGGAGGGAGACAGUGGAGAGAAAGGGGGGCUGAGAUGAAGAGAAAAGUUCAGCGCUCUCUGUGCCUCCUCUGGCCCACAGCGUGGCCUCCUCGGCUGUUUAUGAGCAAGGUGAGGACAGGCUGGCUCUUCGCCUCAGAGUGUGGUCAGGCUGUGUUUACGUCUGUCUGGCCCUGGAGCCUGGGACCCGCAGUCGUGCACUGGCACAUCCUGGACAUCACACAAAGCUCUGCUGAUGUAGCAUGAUGAGGAACCCUCUCAAACGCUGCAGGACGUACUAAUAAACAACCCAGAGCUAUACUUUUCAGAUUUUAUAGCACACCGUCUUCAAGGGGUGAUCUGAA